AUUCAUUAAAAGUGUUGAAAGCAGAUUUCUUCUGAGUCUCUUCAUUAAAGCAGCAGAGACUGAGACACAGACAGGAGAGCAGAUGCUGAAACUGUUAUCAUCAGUCUGUAACUACAGAUCUUUUCCUUAUGAAUGGACUGACAGCGUUAAUCAGAGUGAUUUACUGCUGGAUCUUUACUCACAUGUGAAGAACUAUGAGACUCAAACAGGCAGGAGUUUUCUUCCAGCAUUACAGUCAGUUUUUCAGUCACCUGAUGUCUGGAUCAUAGAUCUCUCACAGAGAAAGAUCUCUGUCCUCCUGGAAGUGCUCAAACUCCAAACAAAGAAGAAACAAGUAGAGCUGAGAGGAUGUUCAGAGCAAGAGAGUGAAAUGAAGAGUUUCCUGCAGUGUCUGCAACACAUCUCACAGCUGAGAUUCUAUGAUCAGAGUGUAAGUGUUGAAAGCAGAUUUCUUCUGAGUCUCUUCAUUAAAGCAGCAGAGACUGAGACACAGACAGGAGAGCAGAUGCUGAAACUGUUAUCAUCAGUCUGUAACUACAGAUCUUUUCCUUAUGAAACGACUGACAGCGUUAAUCAGAGUGAUUUUCUGCUGGAUCUUUACUCACAUGUGAAGAACUAUGAGACUCAAAAAGGCAGGAGUUUUCUUCCAGAAUUACAGUCAGUUUUUCAGUCACCUGAUGUCUGGAUCAUAGAUCUCUCACAGAGAAAGAGCUCUGUCCUCCUGGAAGUGCUCAAACUCCAAACAGAGAAGAAACCAGUAGAGCUGAGAGGAUAUUCAGAGGAAGAGAGUGAAAUGAAGAGUUUCCUGCAGUGUCUGCAACACAUCUCACAGCUGAGUUGUUCUGAGCAGUAUUUGUUAACUCUAGUUAAACUGGUCCAGUUCAGAGAGAAUCUACAGCUGGUGACUUUACUGCUUGAGGUUCUUGGCUUCUCUGUAAGUCUGGAAGGACAAUUACCCAGCAAAACCUGCAGGUCUGUGGGGGGAGUCUUGUGUUUCUCUUCUGACAGACUCAACCUCAGUCUAAAACCUAAAGCCAUCUCUGUCAGAGGAACAAGGCUUCUCUUCAGACACAUCACAAACAUGCACACACUCAGACUGAGUGGUUAUAUGGUGGUGAGAAUAGCGCAGGCAUUGCAGUCUAUGAGGGUUCGAGCUCCCAUCGCUGUUAAUGAACUCACACUUGAUCCAAAUGAUAAACAGCUGUCAGAGAGGAAUCUGUCCAGGAUCGUGAGCAGUUUGGCCAUCCUUCUGAGACUCUGGACUGUCCAGUGUUUGAACUUGACUGAAUACAAGAUUCAGUCUGUUUCUGUGUCUGUCCUACUGUGUCAUCAGGGACCUGUGAUUCUCAGACCAUCAAAGGAGACUCUCCAGAAUCUGGUUGAAUGUGUCUAUGAAGCUCGGGAAGAAGAACUGACUCAAUGCUUCCUGCAGAAAGUGGGUGGAGAUCUGACUUCCUGUUCCUUAAACUGGGAAGAGCUUCAUUAUUUCUUGCAGCACAAAAUUCAACUCAUCUCUGUGGACUUCAGAAAGAGCAACAUUCAAUGCAGCAUCAAUGAAAUCCUGCCAUUUCUAAACAGGAUUAAGUUUAAAUGGAUGAGCUCUAGCUUCAUGCUGUCUGUGAUCAGAGAGAUCUAUGAGUCCGGCUCUGUGGGUUUUGUGUCCGGUCUGUUGAGUUCAGUGAAGAACUACCUUAAUCUGCAGAGCAGAGAGCUGGACUCUGUUCACUGUGCGGCCCUGCGCUUCACACUGCAGCACUGCACUGCAGUUUCACUCAAUCUACAGUGGACCUCCAUACCAGAGGAAGAGCUGGAGAGCAUUCUGCUUCUCUUCACACAUGUCUCCCAUCUCAGUGUUGACAGGCUGCUGUUACUGAAGAUGCUUCACUGCUGCAGUGUCUCUGGUGUCCAGCAGGAGGCAGCAGCAGUUCUGCUCUCCAUCCUGCAGCACGAGCUGGACUUCUCCUGCCGUUCUGCUCUGGAUCUGACAACAAACACAGACUUAGAGCCUCUACAUCUGACCAUCGACGACUGCCGUGUGAUGUCCAGAGUCAUUCAGAGAGCUCAUUCAGACACAAAGACACAGCUAAUUCUUCAGGACUGUGAGAUUAAUACAGCUGGAAUGGAUCAGCUGUCCCCAGUGUUACAUUCUGUUCAACUCUGCUGUGCUAAAUCUCUGCUGCUUCAGUUUCUGGCUCAUGUGAGGCCUGAGGAAGCCGAGUCUCUUUCUCGAGCUCUGGGUGAACAGCUGGAUCUCAGUCAGACUCAGCUGGACCCGCAGGUCUGUAGAGGUCUGAAGCUGAUUCUGGAAUAUUCUGAAGGACUGACAGAACUGGAUCUGAGUCAGUGCCGUCUCACCGAUGACAGUCUGGAUCUGCUGCUCCCAAACCUCCACAAAGCACAGAACAUUGAUUUUAGUGGCAACAGCAUCACUGACUUUGGGGCUCUAAAAAUCUACUUUAUUCUCAUUCCCAAGAGUAACAUAAAGACAGUAAGGCUCUUUAACAACAGAAUUGUAUUUAAAGAGCCCUUCCGCACAGACCCACGAUUUGAGAUCUGGUAAUGUCAAUAAACUCUCAACUCUCUGGAAUCA
ensembl:lncRNA